GAUGAACGCUAGCGGCAGGCUUAAUACAUGCAAGUCGUGGGGCAGCGCAGGUAGCAAUACUGGGCGGCGACCGGCAAACGGGUGCGGAACACGUACACAACCUUCCGAGAAGUGGGGAAUAGCCCAGAGAAAUUUGGAUUAAUACCCCGUAACAUAACGAUGUGGCAUCACAUUGUUAUUAUAGCUUCGGCGCUUCUUGAUGGGUGUGCGGCUGAUUAGAUAGUUGGCGGGGUAACGGCCCACCAAGUCUACGAUCAGUAGCUGAUGUGAGAGCAUGAUCAGCCACACGGGCACUGAGACACGGGCCCGACUCCUACGGGAGGCAGCAGUAAGGAAUAUUGGUCAAUGGACGCAAGUCUGAACCAGCCAUGCCGCGUGAAGGAUUAAGGUCCUCUGGAUUGUAAACUUCUUUUAUCUGGGACGAAAAAAGGCGAUUCUUCGUCACUUGACGGUACCAGAUGAAUAAGCACCGGCUAACUCCGUGCCAGCCGCCGCUGUAACAC
rnacentral:rRNA from 1 species